GACGAACGCUGGCGGCGUGCUUAACACAUGCAAGUCGAACGGAAAGGCCCUGCUUUUGUUGGGUGCUCGAGUGGCGAACGGGUGAGUAACACGUGAGUAACCUGCCCUUGACUUUGUGAUAACUUCAGGAAACUGGGGCUAAUACCGGAUAGGAGCUCCUGCUGCAUGGUGGGGGUUGGAAAGUUUCGGCGGUUGGGGAUGGACUCGCGGCUUAUCAGCUUGUUGGUGGGGUAGUGGCUUACCAAGGCUUUGACGGGUAGCCGGCCUGAGAGGGUGACCGGCCACAUUGGGACUGAGAUACGGCCCAGAAUCCUACGGGAGGCAGCAGUGGGAAAUAUGGCACAAUGGGCGGAAGCCUGAUGCAGCAACGCCGCGUGCGGGAUGACGGCCUUCGGGUUGUAAACCGAUUUCGACUGUGACGAAGAGUGAGUGACGGUAAUGGGUAAAGAAGCACCGGCUAACUACGUG
rnacentral:rRNA from 1 species